rnacentral:rRNA from 1 species
UACAGAGGUCUCAAGCGUUGUUCGGAUUCAUUGGGCGUAAAGGGUGCGUAGGCGGCGAGGCAAGUCAGGUGUGAAAUCCCGGGGCUCAACCCUGGAACUGCACUUGAUACUGCUUUGCUAGAGUACUGGAGAGGAGAUUGGAAUUUACGGUGUAGCAGUGAAAUGCGUAGAUAUCGUAAGGAAGACCAGUGGCGAAGGCGAAUCUCUGGACAGUUACUGACGCUGAGGCACGAAGGCCAGGGGAGCAAACGGG